GGGACCUUCAAUUCGUUCAGAGA
rnacentral:miRNA from 1 species